rnacentral:rRNA from 1 species
CAGUCGCCACGGUAAUACGGAGGGUGCAAGCGUUAAUCGGAAUUACUGGGCGUAAAGCGCACGCAGGCGGUUUGUUAAGACAGAUGUGAAAUCCCCGGGCUCAACCUGGGAACUGCAUUUGUGACUGGCAAGCUAGAGUCUGGCAGAGGGGGGUGGAAUUCCGCGUGUAGCAGUGAAAUGCGUAGAUAUGCGGAGGAACACCGAUGGCGAAGGCAGCCCCCUGGGCCAACACUGACGCUCAUGCACGAAAGCGUGGGGAGCAAACAGGAUUAGAUACCCCGGUAGUCCCUGUCUCUUAUAA